rnacentral:lncRNA from 1 species
GUUUGAGAUAUGUUAGCAAAUGAGCAUUCAUCUAGACAUAGAGCUUACUUAGAAUUGUGUCUAGGCUUAAGGUCGAUAGUUUGAUUGAUCAUUUGCCAUCCUUAGUUCGAUACUUGAUCACCCAAGGUCUAAUCCAUAUGCCCAUGAGUUCUCUUUUCCCUUAGUCAGAAAGUAUCAUUCUGUAAUUGCACCCUCACCUUAGCUGGAUCUCUAGGAUUCGAAGACUCUGAACAUCCUUGCGUUUUCUGGUGAAGAACUCUUUAGCUCCUCCUCAUUUGAUCCCUCUUCUCAAAC